GAUGAAGAACGUAGCGAAAUGCGAUAGGUAGUGUGAAUUGCAGAUGUAACGUGAAUCAUCGAAUCUUUGAACGCAAAUUGCACUCUCUGGUAUUCCGGGGAGUAUGCCUGUUUGAGGGUCGCCAAAUCAACAUCGAAAUUCAUUUGCUUUUGUAAAUGUUUAUCGGAUUUGAGCCGUCUUUUAUUUUUUUAAUUAAAGUGGCUUAAAAUGUAUUUUUUGGUAUCGAAAAACGUUAUUUUACGAUCAAAUUGAUUAAAAAAACAAACGUUUCGAAUGCCGUCUUUUAAUGUAAUACGCUUGACUGUGGUGUUAUCAUAGUUUCAUUCGUAUACGAUUUUUUAAUUUUUGACCUCAAAUCAGGUAAGAACACCCGCUGAACUUAAGCAUAUCAAUAAGCGGAGGA
rnacentral:misc_RNA from 1 species